GAUUGCAUCUCAAAAUUUUCUAUAUAUUGAACUAAAUAAAUAUUAAAUCUUUAUCUAGAUUAUAGUGAAAUAGAGAUCAAAUCUUUAGAAUCUGGAUUCAAAUCCUUGUGUAGGCCUGGAUUUGCAGGCCCUCUAUUUUACGCGCACGCCAAGCUCCACAGGAAAGCAGGAUGAAGCUUUGGAUUGAAGCACCUUCGCAAGGCCACCAAGGGAGGAAAGAGAGCUGCUGAUGUGAUGCCUCACACCAGUCAGAAAGAUGCCUGAAGAAGGCCCAUGGCA
rnacentral:lncRNA from 1 species